AUCCAACCCAAACGAAAACCUACAAAUAUUAUCAAAUGAAAACCUCCUAAACACAUCUUGCAAAUCCACCACCUCCAUCGUCUUCCCAACUCCCUUCAUCGUAGGUAGCAACCUACUCCGAAUCUCCGUCGUUAAAAUCUCGAACGCGUGAGACCGAAGUGACAAACUCCCAAGUUCCAAACUCGCCAUCUUGCGUUGAAACCGCCAAGAAUGACCAUCCACAUUGAAAAUUCCAUGACCAAGAAGGUCACCAAGGAUGGAAGAGAAGGGUUUUCCUUUGGGGUAGUUAUGGAAGUUGGAUUUAAGGAUGUGUUGGACGUUGUCGGGGUUGGCGGUUACGAUAUUGGAGAUAACGUGGAGGUGGAGCGUGGCAGUGGGGGAGUGGGAAAGAAGGUGAGUGUACCAAUCGG
rnacentral:lncRNA from 1 species